rnacentral:lncRNA from 1 species
UGGCAAUUCAUUUUCUAUUCUCCAUCCUUUAAGGUCAUAACAGAAGAAAUAACUAUGCAAUUGACUUGAUCACUAUUGUUUUAUCUAGAAAAAAAUAUGUUUUGUACGCAUGUAUUGAUGAGUACUCCUCUUGACUCGAUUGUGUUGCAAGGAGUGAAAGAAUCCAGUUGGGUGGUCUGCAGCUCUGAUCACCUCCAGCAUCACCACAUAAUCAAAGUUCCAAACAGUAGUGCUGCACUGCUACCUCCAGCCAGCAUUUCACUUUGAUGUUUAUAGGUGGCUUAACAUGAUCAUUUGAUGUGUAUCUUAUGUAGAAGAUUUGAAUGAUGUACGUGUUUAUUUUAGAAAACAUUUCUUAAUGACGCCUUGCAUAUAUACAAGACAGAUAUUCAUGUACAUUAGCUUUAGUUUUGUUUGUUAACUAGAAACUGUGGUUACCUUUUUUUAACCGAAAUCACUAAAGCAUGGGAUGCAUUUGGGGUUUCCAGAUAGCUAAUAUUAGGAGCACACAAGACUUAGACUACUGCUAUGUAACUAAAGGAAAUCAGAACAUUCACCAAUAUCCUCUGUAUAUUUUCUAGCCUUGAAUUCCUGACUUUUUCAUACAAAUUAUAAUUUGGAAACUUUAUUUAUAGGAAUGAUAAAUAGUAUGUACAAAUGCCUUUACUAAAAUUAAGCUUACAUUAGCCACAUGGAAGCCAACACAAUAUCACAUGUAAUAUUUCUUAGUUAGUCAAAAGUAUGCUUCUUUUAAAAUUUAUGGUUCUAAUAUUUUUUUCUCACAUAAAUAUGUUCCAGUUAUAUAUGGUAAACUAAAGCUGUUUAGCCCAUGCAGACGCACGGGUUAACGACUAGUCUAACUAACUCGGGGAUAAAUUCAUUGAUCCAGAUGUAAAAUUGCCAAGAUAGUAACUAGUACACAUAGAACAGGAGGAAUAUAGGUUGCUCUUCUUUUAUUAAGUACGAAUGGAUCUUGAUGAAGCUUUACUUCUUUAGCACUGUUCUAGAGAUGCAUGAGACACCUGUAACCUUUUUCCCUUGGUUUUGAAGCUACACGCACCAACUCGAUGUAUGGUGACUCCAUGGAGCAAGUCAAGUUCGUGGAGCAAGUCAUGGACGAUGCCAUGGAAGGUAUACUCUCUCCCUCUCCCUACCAUGGUACUGCUCAUUGUGUCCACGACCAUUGAGCCAUGCUAGGUUCUAUGCUGCUGUCCAUGAAAAUUUAUAGCAUUUGGGGCUGUAGGUUUCAGUGGAUUUAUUUAGCAAUAAAUAAUUCUGUUAGUUCACAGAAAACAAUUUGACUGUAGCUGUACAGAAUUAGCAAUGGAUCUCUAGGCUGGUGAUGACUAUGUAAAUUUGUUUCAGUGGAUAUGGGGCUGUAGUUUUGUUCCAAAGCGUGGUGAGCACCUUUAGGGUUUUUUUCAUGUUGGAUGACUGAAACCAACUAGAGCUAAAUGUUUUGGUUCAGUUUUAGAUGACAAACCGUUUUGGUUCAGUUUGCUAACUAAAUGGAGAAGAGAAAAGAAGUGGUACUAUCACUCACAUUGCCCUUGAAUGCACAUCAACACUUAGGCUACUCUCCAUAUAAUUUUAUUAAGCCAUGUUUUUCUGCAGGCUGUGUCAUAUAUUGUGGCGUCUUGAUUAAUCAUCAAUGACAACUAACACUCAUGUCGGUCUCUUUUCACAAUCACAAUAGGGACGUAGCUCUUGCUAUAGUUCUAAGUUGUGAUCCAAAAUUUAAGCUUGAUGAUGCUAAAAAUUACAAAUGAAUUCUUGGUAGUGCAUGUCGAUAUGGCACUUGUGAAAACUGAAGAUUUGGUAUGGAGUCGCAAAAGGUGAAAUACUCUUGAUAAUACAGAAAAAAAAGAAUACAUGACCUUCAACCUUCGUACAUGCCUGAUAUCCUGCUGCCUCUAUUACUACAUUCAUCAUGUCAAUGCAUUGUGUAUUAACAGUUCAUUUUGUUAUUUUCUUUAUAGAUUCAAAAUAUAUAUGGAUGAUUAUAAUGGUGCGUGGCAAGUAUAUUGCAAUGAUGAUGAUGUUCCGGUUCAUGAUGAUGAUGAUGUUCCGGUUCAUGAUGAUAAUGAUGGAUGCUAUCAGUUUUAGUUAAGUUGUAGGGAUGAUGUUCCUGUCUGAUGAUGUUCCCCAGUUAAGUUAGUUUAAGUUGUAGGGAUGUUGAAGGAUGCUUUCUAUUUAAGUUUCGCUGUCAAGAAAAUAUUUAGAUUAUGCAUCAAAUUUGGAUGAUGUUUCCCCUGCAAUAUCAACCAUUGUAAUCCAACAACUUUAUCCAAUAUAUGAUUUCUUUCUCUAAUGAGUAUAUUCUUUUUUUUCCACACUUCAUAUACAUAAUUACCACUGUUAUGUUGAGCAUUAAUUUAAUUGUUGGCAAUAUUAUUUACAUUAUAUAUGUAACAACACAUGAAGCGUUGAAAAAUCCUAGUUGCCAGAAAUGAGAUUUGGAUUCUUGUACAUUAAGCA